rnacentral:lncRNA from 1 species
AUGCCGUUCACCUGCUUUUCCUAACUAUGAUCUCAAAUUACUGAUUUUUCUUUCUUUGCCUACAUGCUGCUAUUUCGAGAUGCAAUAUUUGGUCGCUUGCUGAUUUUAAAUCCAAAUCCUGACUGAAAAUGAUUUUAUUUGUAAGGCAGCAGCGGGAACACCUGCUCUUGACAUGUGAGAAUGUUCUGAUGACAUAACCAGCUACCAGUAAUAGAAACUGUCUUUGGGCCCUCAUUGUGAGCCAUGUGAUGCUUCCACCACGUUGCCAAGUCAAACACUGUAAUUCCCCUCACUGAUUACUACUGCCCAGAGAGAGAGCAAGUGAGCAAAACUGUUUUUGAGUACUGAGUGACUUCUGAAUAUCCUACUGUAAUAUGGCUGACUUUAGUGGUCCUGAUACAAUGUCAGCUAAGGCCAAUGUAAGAGCAACAUGAUGGAAAGCACGGAGCAAAUACCUCCUGUUGUGAAGGUAUAGCAUGCUGGAGCCUCACAUCUGGCUUGGGUGCUUUGGUACCUGGUAAACUAACACGAAGCUAUCCCUGACACUGAACAUAAAUGGAAUUCAAUCAGGUUCCAACUUUGAACAGGAGGACUGAGAGGACUUCUUAAAUUUCUAUCUAGGACAAGAUGAUGAUUGGAAGGGCCAACAUAGAUUUACUAAGGGCAAACAGCCUGACAAGCCUGGCAGCCUGGUAGGAUGGAAUAACUGCUUCUGUGGACCAGGAUUGAAGUGGAUGGCUUUCAUCCUGUCUCUAUCACAAAUAUAAG